GGGCUCCCCCUAAAAGGCACGUGCUGGUGCUGAGAAGGCCGGCCAGGAGCUUCUCCAAAGCCUCUUUAGCUGCCCGUGGUUAAAUUCACUUCUGAUACAUCCAUUUCAGGCAAAGAUCACCGUGGGGCUGAACAUCAUUGGCAUCAUCUAUGCCAUCUAUGGGCUGAUCACUCUGGUCAUUGAGUUUCUCAGUUAUGACUCUAUGUCUAUGCAACAAAGUUGGCCUGAGAGGUCUGGUAAGCUGCUUUCAGAUUAUCUGUUCAUCUACACCACCCUGUAUGUCUUCAUCUCAUGGAUCAUCCUCAGAUGGAACCACAAAGCCAUCUUUUACUCCCCGAACUGAGGGAAUGUUUCCUUCCUCUCCUGCAUCAACCCUUCGGUGACCAGUUCCGAGCCACAUCCAGAAAGGCCAGCAGGGAUGCCACUGAACACUGCGCUUGGCAGAAGGGCUGGUGCCCUUUGGACUUCCCACCAUGCAGCCAAAGUGGCUACACCCUCUCCUCUCAGAGGGGCUCCAACCCAGGCCUGCCAUCCAGGGCUUCUUGACAAGGGCAGUCAGUUGACCAAGAGAGGUGGCAAGGACACAGCACCCACUUAAAGGCAAAGAAAACCAUGAGGACCCCCAAUAAAGAAUGAAUGGGGAGUGGAGUGUGAGCA
rnacentral:lncRNA from 1 species